rnacentral:rRNA from 1 species
CCUACGGGAGGCAGCAGUGGGGAAUAUUGGACAAUGGGGGCAACCCUGAUCCAGCCAUGCCGCGUGUGUGAAGAAGGCCCUCGGGUUGUAAAGCACUUUCAGUGAGGAAGAACGCCUGGUGGUUAAUACCCAUCAGGAAAGACAUCACUCACAGAAGAAGCACCGGCUAACUCCGUGCCAGCAGCCGCGGUAAUACGGAGGGUGCGAGCGUUAAUCGGUAUUACUGGGCGUAAAGCGCGCGUAGGUGGCUUGAUAAGCCGGUUGUGAAAGCCCCGGGCUCAACCUGGGAACGGCAUCCGGAACUGUCAAGCUAGAGUGCAGGAGAGGAAGGUAGAAUUCCCGGUGUAGCGGUGAAAUGCGUAGAGAUCGGGAGGAAUACCAGUGGCGAAGGCGGCCUUCUGGACUGACACUGACACUGAGGUGCGAAAGCGUGGGUAGCAAACAGGAUUAGAUACCCGAGUAGUC